GGCCCGAUGGUCUAGCGGUAUGAUAUCUGCUCGCUUUGGGUGUGAGUGGCCCCAGGUUCAAAUCCCGGUCGAGCCC